GGGACGCCCCUCCCGGGAAGGGUCGUGGGAAGGUGACUGGAGGACCGGGAGCCCGCUCCAAAAUAGAAGCCCCUUCCCGCCCGCCCCCUUCUCGUCCUCUGCUCCCAACACUGCUCAAGCAGGCUCCUGACAAAUCCUGGCCCACUGGAGUCGGGCCGCCCAGGGCGCGGAUCAGGUCCCAGCUGUGACCUUGGAAGAAUCGCUGUACUGUGCUGGGUCUCUGCUCUGCAUCCAUCAAAGGCAGACACCUCCAAGGGCUUUUGCUGCUUCCGAGAAUCUACCAAGUGCCAGACCCUUUUCCAAGCUGUUCCUUACUUGAUCCUUAAAUCUUCAGCCUCAACCCUGGUAUCUCCAUUUGAGGGAAGAGGAAACUGAGGCUGGAGUGAGAAAUCCCCAGGGUUAGAAGGGAAGUGGGGCCCCUAGCUGUCUGGUGGCCUUGCUGUCUUCUCUGAGGGACCUGCCACCUUCCUCUCACCCACAGGGGUAAAUUGGACAAUAUAUAAAUAUUGUAAAACAGCAGCCCGGCAGGGGAGGAGGGGACAGAGGGGACUGAACCCAGCACACACUGAGUCACAGCAACUCAGCCCCAAAUCCCUGCCUCAACAAGACUGGAGGUAAAUAAAUAAAGGUCCAGAAAUUGGCCAACACCACCUGUCACUGCUAAGGCCAUUUCCUUCGGGAACUUCCACCUGUAGCUUCCCUCAAAGGACAGUAACAUCCUAAUCAGACUUCCAGAGCCCAAAUCCCCCUCCCUGGAACUGGACAGGAAGUUCCUACUCCCAGUUUGCAAAGUUGCAUUUGCUGAGCUGCCCAUUCCCUGGCUUUGCACCCCUCUCCACUACACUGAGGGACUCUGACAUCUCUGCCCUCUGCCAGGUACUGAGGUGAAAUGCACAGAUGUCUGGUUUCUACACUGACCAAGGAUUUCAU
rnacentral:lncRNA from 1 species